rnacentral:rRNA from 1 species
UACGAAGGGGGCUAGCGUUGUUCGGAAUCACUGGGCGUAAAGGGCGCGUAGGCGGCCGAUCAAGUCGGGGGUGAAAGCCUGUGGCUCAACCACAGAAUUGCCUUCGAUACUGUUUGGCUUGAGACCGGAAGAGGUUAGUGGAACUGCGAGUGUAGAGGUGAAAUUCGUAGAUAUUCGGAAGAACACCAGUGGCGAAGGCGACUAACUGGACAUGUAUUGACGCUGAGGUGCGAAAGCGUGGGGAGCAAACAGG